GUCUACGGCCAUACCACCUUGAACACACCCGAUCUUGUCUGAUCUUGGAAGCUAAGCAGGGUUGGGCCUGGUUAGUACUUGGAUGGGGGAAAACUCAUUUCUUAAAAA
ensembl:rRNA 5S_rRNA 5S ribosomal RNA